rnacentral:misc_RNA from 1 species
ACCUACUGCAAUGUUGAACAGGUAUUGAUUCUCACUUCUAUGUUCAAACUUUGUAAGAUAUUUAUGGUUGCCUGAAUAUAAAUCUCUUUUUGUCCUCUAAACUACUUACUUCUGCAACAAUAGGCAUUUGUUUCCCUUUAACUAAAAGCUGACAUUUUCAUAUAUAGUGUUGGUUGUCAUGUCUUAUUUUAUUGUGAUUGAGUCUCCUAAUAUAUCAUCUUAAAAUUUUAUAAAAUAAUGUCAUGGAAGUCUGAUUGCUUGUGGAAUUACUGUUGAUGGGCAUAUUAUAAUAGCACAUGAUUGUCAUGAUUGUCAAUCUAAACCUUGACCAACUCCUAAUUUCACUUAAAUGUAUGUCUCUAUGUCAAAUGCCUCUCUUACAAUGAAAAUGCAAACACACACAAUGCCCAGGAAAGUGUGGACAUUCAAAUGUAACUAAUUUUUCACUAAUGAUUGGUUGCAUGAGAAGAAUUAACUACUUGCAUUACACUAUUGAGGGAGAAAUAUAGGUAUUAUUUGGUGAUGUGUUGGUUGAGUCACUGCCCAAUUGGUGUGAUGUGUUGGGUGAGUCACUGCCUGAUUGGUGUAGUUGUGGAGAAAUUUAGCAACUUGAUUUUUCACUUUCAGACAUUCUAGUUUUCCUGCUAUAUGGGCUAACGAAAAUGAGGUAGAUGAUAACAAACUCAAGAAAUUUUAGAAGUAUGGUAUAGAUGCCAUCUUGGGUUUAAUGGGGAUA